rnacentral:rRNA from 1 species
UGGGAAUUUGGACAAUGGGCGAAAGCCUGAUCCAGCAAUGCCGCGUGUGUGAAGAAGGCCUUCGGGUUGUAAAGCACUUUUGUCCGGAAAGAAAUCCUUGGCUCUAAUACAGUCGGGGGAUGACGGUACCGGAAGAAUAAGCACCGGCUAACUACGUGCCAGCAGCCGCGGUAAUACGUAGGGUGCAAGCGUUAAUCGGAAUUACUGGGCGUAAAGCGUGCGCAGGCGGUUUGCUAAGACCGAUGUGAAAUCCCCGGGCUCAACCUGGGAACUGCAUUGGUGACUGGCAGGCUAGAGUAUGGCAGAGGGGGGUAGAAUUCCACGUGUAGCAGUGAAAUGCGUAGAGAUGUGGAGGAAUACCGAUGGCGAAGGCAGCCCCCUGGGCCAAUACUGACGCUCAUGCACGAAAGCGUGGGGAGCAAACAGGAUUAGAUACCCCUGGUAGUCCACGCCCUAAAACGAUGUCAACUAGUUGUUGGGGAUUCAUUUCCUUAGUAACGUAGCUAACGCGUGAAGUUGACCGCCUGGGGAGUACGGUCGCAAGAUUAAAACUUAAAUGAAUUG